UAGAAGACCCAGCAGUCAGGUUAUUGAUAUAGAUUAGUAUGGUAGAAGACCCAGCAGUCAGGUUAUUGAUAUAGAUUAGUAUGGUAGAAGACCCAGCAGUAAGGUUAUUGAUAUAGAUUAGUAUGGUAGAAGACCCAGCAGUAAGGUUAUUGAUAUAGAUUAGUAUGGUAGAAGACCCAGCAGUCAGGUUAUUGAUAUAGAUUAGUAUGGUAGAAGACCCAGCAGUCAGGUUAUUGAUAUAGAUUAGUAUGGUAGAAGACCCAGCAGUAAGGUUAUUGAUAUAGAUUAGUAUGGUAGAAGACCCAGCAGUCAGGUUAUUGAUAUAGAUUAGUAUGGUAGAAGACCCAGCAGUAAGGUUAUUGAUAUAGAUUAGUAUGGUAGAAGACCCAGCAGUAAGGUUAUUGAUAUAGAUUAGUAUGGUAGAAGACCCAGCAGUAAGGUUAUUGAUAUAGAUUAGUAUGGUAGAAGACCCAGCAGUCAGGUUAUUGAUAUAGAUUAGUAUGGUAGAAGACCCAGCAGUCAGGUUAUUGAUAUAGAUUAGUAUGGUAGAAGACCCAGCAGUCAGGUUAUUGAUAUAGAUUAGUAUGGUAGAAGACCCAGCAGUCAGGUUAUUGAUAUAGAUUAGUAUGGUAGAAGACCCAGCAGUCAGGUUAUUGAUAUAGAUUAGUAUGGUAGAAGACCCAGCAGUAAGGUUAUUGAUAUAGAUUAGUAUGGUAGAAGACCCAGCAGUAAGGUUAUUGAUAUAGAUUAGUAUGGUAGAAGACCCAGCAGUCAGGUUAUUGAUAUAGAUUAGUAUGGUAGAAGACCCAGCAGUCAGGUUAUUGAUAUAGAUUAGUAUGGUAGAAGACCCAGCAGUCAGGUUAUUGAUAUAGAUUAGUAUGGUAGAAGACCCAGCAGUAAGGUUAUUGAUAUAGAUUAGUAUGGUAGAAGACCCAGCAGUAAGUUAUUGCUAUAGAUUAGU